rnacentral:lncRNA from 1 species
GGCUUCAUGAGAUUUGAACAUUAUUUGACACCAACGACCUUUUUGCAGCUGUAAAUGUUUAGUUUGUCACAACCAGAUCAAAAAGUAAGAACUUGUUGUGAUUUGUGUAAAAUGUGUGAGGCUGAGUUCCUGCUGUCACUGAUGCAGCUCACAUGUAUCAGCCUCACCCUCCUCGUGCUUCAUGCUGCCUGGAUUUAAUCCUCACUUACUUUCUGUGGCUCUUUGUAAGAUCUCUGAUCACUUUCAUUAAAGUUCUCACUGACUGUUGGAUCUCUUCAUAUUUUACAGUGAUGAGAUUUUCUGCUUCUGAGGAAGUGAAGAAGAACCUGACGGGCACUGUGGGAGGAAACAUCACUCUACCUGCACCUGUGCUGGAGGAAGGAUUUCUGUCAUAUGGAGGAAAGAUUAUUGUUAUGGUGAAUAAUGGAGAAUUUAAAGUAUACAAGAACCGACUUCAGUGGGACAGAAACUCUGGACUCUUUACACUCACAGAGCUGCAGAGGAACGACUCAGGGAUUUAUACUGUCGACUCUAAAACAGGAAACGAUUUCACAUCAUCAUAUAAGCUGACAGUGUACGACUCUGUACCGACUCCUGCAGUGAAGAAAGUGAGUGUGAGCUCUGAGAGCUGCUCCUUACUGUGUUUGGUGGACAGAGAGACCAAACUGCUGUGGUUUAAAGACGAGCAGAGACUGAACCAGAGCAGCUCUGCGCUCUCUCUGCCUCUCACUGUGCACAAACAGGACUUCAGCUCCUCUUACAGAUGUGUGGCUGCAAACCCUGCAGAGGAGAAAACUCUUCCUGUCCAUGUGAAUACGACCUGUGGAGACACCAACAACGACACCAACAGCUCGACUGAACCAAGAAACUAUAACAUCCUCAUUAUAAUCUUCUGUGUCCUGAGUGCUACCCUCAUCAUCAUCAUCAUCAUCCUCAUCAUGAGGAGGAAGCAUCCUGUCCAAGACAAGUUUAACCUCCUACAAGCUGCAGGCAGGGCUCCUGUGGAUGAAGUGGUCCUUUAUACUGACACAGGUGACAGCAGACAGGGUGGGAUUUUAGCGGCUGUAUCAGGAACCAGUGAUGGCUCCAGUCUGACAGCAGUGUCUUAUAAACUGGUGCUCGUCACAUGAGAGAGGUGUGACUGGCUGCAACAUCCGAGGAAAGCUGGACUCUGGAAAGAAGUUUUCCUUUGGUAUUGAUGAUUUGGAUUGGUUAUGACUAAAGUGUAUUUUUACAGUGUGAAUGUGCCACAGAAGAGUUUUCACCUACGUCAUCAUGACCUCUGACCUGCUCCUCUGACACUGAUCGUAAAAGACUGUAUCCAGACAAUGGACAGAGGACGCAGCUGUACGUCAUGUUUACCUGUCAAAUCAUUCAAAUGAUGCAACAAAGCAAAGACUUUUCUCUCUGUCACCUACCUGCUGCCUUGAGUCCUCUCUCCUCGCAUCUCUUCCUCGCCUCCUCUGUUUGCAUCCUCAGAGGGAGGGUCAAGGAUGAGGGGAGAGGAGGUGAGGGAAGGAAACUCGCCUGUACCAGGUGAGAAGACGGACUUUGGAAGAAUCUGAGGUGAACCUUCACGUCUCCUCUUCAUGGUUUACCUUCAUGGACUCUGAAGGCCUGGUAGUAGGUCUGGGACUAGUAGGACCAGGUCUGUGUGUGAGGAGGAGCAGCUGGGCUUGGAAGAAAGGAGCAGAGACUGAAUCACAUUUGAUUCUGAUCAAUAUUCCUUUAAAGGUUUAUUUGUGAUGUGACUGCAUGUAGAUCUCCAGGACGAGCCUCACUGCUGCUCUGAGGACUGAAAGCUUCACUGAGCUCUGAUUUAUUUCUCUGCUUUUAAUUCACACCUUUAAUUUCACACUUUUGUCCACAGUUCAAACUCCAGCAGCUCACAGAGCUCAUCACUGCCUCCGUCAGCUCACAGGGCGCCCCCGUGUGGUCACUGACGAGCUGUUCACAAAUUACUUUUAGAUUUGAUGUCAUUUAUUCUCAUCUUCCUGACUGUUGCUGCAAAUACAUGAAAUAAAUAACAGAAGCUUUGUGAGUGUUUCUGAACUCUUCCUACUUUUUGACUUCCAAACCUAAAACAGGAAACAUCCACACACAUCCUCAGCUCCACGUGGAGCAGAUCAAAAUGACCAUAGCAAAGAGCUAACGGUUCACACAGUGCAGAGCUGCUUAUUUCCUGCAGUUAGUGACGUUUGGAGCACAGCUGCUGUCA